UUAAAAUGUGUUAAAGAAUAAGUGAGAAUUUGUUAAAAGGAGUCAAGAUGUAUGAGGCACUUUUAGGAGAAUUUCUUUUUGAGAAGGAGAUAAAAAUCAGCACUAUCUGGAGGAUGAUACAGAUAGAAAGGAAUAUUUAUAGAAGUCAUGGAAUUUUAAGCUGGUCAAGAAAAAGAGAGGAAGUUGAUGAAUAGUGAAAAAAAUUGUGAGCUCAAGAUCGUGAAUAUCUGAACAACUAUGGUACUCCGGAGUGCAAGAAUAUGUGAACUGCAAAAAUAAAAUUACUGGGUCAAAUA
rnacentral:lncRNA from 1 species